CGCGCAGCGAGAGGUGCUUGCACCUUUCAAGCGAGUGGCGAACGGGUGAGUAACACGUGGAUAACCUGCCUCAAGGCUGGGGAUAACAUUUGGAAACAGAUGCUAAUACCGAAUAAAACUUAGUAUCGCAUGAUAUCAAGUUAAAAGGCGCUACGGCGUCACCUAGAGAUGGAUCCGCGGUGCAUUAGUUAGUUGGUGGGGUAAAGGCUUACCAAGACGAUGAUGCAUAGCCGAGUUGAGAGACUGAUCGGCCACAUUGGGACUGAGACACGGCCCAAACUCCUACGGGAGGCUGCAGUAGGGAAUCUUCCACAAUGGGCGCAAGCCUGAUGGAGCAACGCCGCGUGUGUGAUGAAGGCUUUCGGGUCGUAAAGCACUGUUGUAUGGGAAGAAAUGCUAAAAUAGGGAAUGAUUUUAGUUUGACGGUACCAUACCAGAAAGGGACGGCUAAAUACGUGCCAGCAGCCGCGGUAAUACGUAUGUCCCGAGCGUUAUCCGGAUUUAUUGGGCGUAAAGCGAGCGCAGACGGUUGAUUAAGUCUGAUGUGAAAGCCCGGAGCUCAACUCCGGAAUGGCAUUGGAAACUGGUUAACUUGAGUGUUGUAGAGGUAAGUGGAACUCCAUGUGUAGCGGUGGAAUGCGUAGAUAUAUGGAAGAACACCAGUGGCGAAGGCGGCUUACUGGACAACAACUGACGUUGAGGCUCGAAAGUGUGGGUAGCAAACAGGAUUAGAUACCCUGGUAGUCCACACCGUAAACGAUGAAUACUAGGUGUUAGGAGGUUUCCGCCUCUUAGUGCCGAAGCUAACGCAUUAAGUAUUCCGCCUGGGGAGUACGACCGCAAGGUUGAAACUCAAAGGAAUUGACGGGGACCCGCACAAGCGGUGGAGCAUGUGGUUUAAUUCGAAGCAACGCGAAGAACCUUACCAGGUCUUGACAUCCUUUGAAGCUUUUAGAGAUAGAAGUGUUCUCUUCGGAGACAAAGUGACAGGUGGUGCAUGGUCGUCGUCAGCUCGUGUCGUGAGAUGUUGGGUUAAGUCCCGCAACGAGCGCAACCCUUAUUGUUAGUUGCCAGCAUUCAGUUGGGCACUCUAGCGAGACUGCCGGUGACAAACCGGAGGAAGGCGGGGACGACGUCAGAUCAUCAUGCCCCUUAUGACCUGGGCUACACACGUGCUACAAUGGCGUAUACAACGAGUUGCCAACCUGCGAAGGUGAGCUAAUCUCUUAAAGUACGUCUCAGUUCGGACUGCAGUCUGCAACUCGACUGCACGAAGUCGGAAUCGCUAGUAAUCGCGGAUCAGCACGCCGCGGUGAAUACGUUCCCGGGUCUUGUACACACCG
rnacentral:rRNA from 1 species